rnacentral:rRNA from 1 species
GAUGAACGCUGGCGGCGUGCCUAAUACAUGCAAGUCGAGCGAACAGACGAGGAGCUUGCUCCUCUGACGUUAGCGGCGGACGGGUGAGUAACACGUGGAUAACCUACCUAUAAGACUGGGAUAACUUCGGGAAACCGGAGCUAAUACCGGAUAAUAUAUUGAACCGCAUGGUUCAAUAGUGAAAGUCGGUUUUGCUGUCACUUAUAGAUGGAUCCGCGCCGCAUUAGCUAGUUGGUAAGGUAACGGCUUACCAAGGCGACGCUGCGUAGCCGACCUGAGAGGGUGAUCGCCCACACUGGAACUGAGACACGGUCCAGACUCCUACGGGAGGCAGCAGUAGGGAAUCUUCCGCAAUGGGCGAAAGCCUGACGGAGCAACGCCGCGUGAGUGAUGAAGGUCUUCGGAUCGUAAAACUCUGUUAUUAGGGAAGAACAAAUGUGUAAGUAACUAUGCACGUCUUGACGGUACCUAAUCAGAAAGCCACGGCUAACUACGUG